AGCUUUGUGCAGUGGCAGCAUUGUAACCAAUGAGGCUUAUCCAAGGCACGAUUAUUGCUAAUUAAAUAUCUUAUUUCUGUUUCCUUACAUUUAAACAGAGGAAACUGGGC
ensembl:snRNA U4 U4 spliceosomal RNA